rnacentral:rRNA from 1 species
UUGGUCAAUGGCCGAAAGGCUGAACCAGUAACUUGGAAGAAUGUAAGUGUAUUUGUAUAAAUACAAUAGCGAUUAAUUCGCAUAAAAUUCUAAAUAGAUUGUAUAUAAUGACAUAAUCUAUUUAUAAGUCUUGACCAAACUACGUGCCAGCAGUCGCGGUAAUACGUAGGAGGCUAGUGUUAGUUAUCUUUAUUGGGUUUAAAGGGUAAGUAGACGGUAAAUUAAACUCUAAACGAGUACUUUUUUACUAGAGUUAUAUGAGAGAAGGAAGAAUACCUGGAGUAGAGAUAGAAUUCGAUAAUACCAGGGGGACUGUCAACGGCGAAGGCGUCCUUCUAUGUAAUAACUGACGUUGAGAGACGAAGGCUUGGGUAGCAAACAGGAUUAGAUACCCUAAUAGUCCAAGCAGACAAUGAUGAAUGUCAUACAUUAGAUAUAAAUUUAAUGCAUAAACGAAAGUGUAAGCAUUCCACCUCAAGAGUACUAUGGCAACAUAUAAACUGAAAUCAUUAGACCGUUUCUGAAAUCAGUAGUGAAGUAU